ACGAUGGGGGACACCAGAAAUGGGCUUCACACAUUGUACCCAUGUCAGGAAUCGAACCAGGGUCUUCGGCGUGACGAGAGAAUGCUUUAACCACUAGGUUACCCGACCCCCCGAUGUCAUAAAGAGGGACGUUUGACUUCAACUUAAUUUCGUAAAGAAUUGCUAUGUGUGCAGACUUACAAAAGCAUCUUAUUUUUCUCUCAUUAGUUUGUAACGUAAUAAAAAACAUUAUUUCAAAACAAUGUCAGCAUACAUGUCUACAUUCAAUUAAUCAUAAAUAAACUUGCAGUUAUUGCAUAAACAGUUAUAAGUAUGAUAAGUCUGAAAAUGGGAUAAAAUAUUUGAUGCCAUGUAUCUCUGUAAUAAAUAUUAAUUAAAGCUUAUGAAUUGUAUUUUUAUGGGCCUAAGAUGCUGUAGUUUUUAAAUAUGUUAAGAAGUCAAAAUGUGAUUUUUUACCAAUAAGGUCCCUCAGCUCAUGGUUGGUCACUGACUGUUAACUUGAUCAAAACAUAGUCGGCACAAAACAUCCUUUUCCAAUUUGCUUUUUCUUCAUUCUUAUUUUGACGGCUCUAUGUUGUUUUUGAAUCUGUAAACCAAAUUGUCAAGAAAGGCCUCAAUAUUAAAUGUUUGCACAUCAUGUAUAUUGUUAUUUGGUACAUAUAUUUUUGAAAUGUCAGAAGUGUUAUUUUUCCAGACUGUAGAAAUAUUCCCUGUAGUACACGUUUCUUGCACAUAAGGGGAGAUAAGUCAUUUCAGGCCACAUUCAUGUUGAAUUAUGUCUCCAAAUAUUUACUUUGAAAUUCCUUAAAUUGGUGAAAAGUUAACUUGUAACCUGGUGUCAUUGUGAGGUGAUGUGAACGAGGGGUUUAAUGUCGUGUCCAAGAUUAUAGCACCAACAGUGACGUGUGUGUGUGGCUGUGUGUGUGGCUGUGUGUGUGGCUACGGAUGCUUGUACUAGUCUGGACUAAUGCCGAUUUUAUAGUGCUGGCCCUCUGAGAUACCAUGCCUUAGUCUGACAUGAACACCCCACUGAGACACAGAAUACUGACUCAUGGUUUUAGCCCCCUAAUGCCACACAGGGUAACAAGGAGAAAAUCUUUUUUACAUCUUUUGGUAUGACUAGGCAGGGGAUCGGACCCCUGACUUUCCACUCUCCAGGCAGACACUUUACCACAAGAACACUGGUGUAAUUGUGAUACUUCCUGAUUUACUGUUAGGUCAUGCUAACCAGUUUAUUAAUGUAUUGUCUUAUGUUACCUGGUUUAAUCAUGUACCGUGUUACCUGGUUUAAUGAUGUUCCAUGUUACCUGGUUAAAUGAGUGUGGCGUUAUAACAAACAAAAUAAUGUUACCUAGUUUAAUAAUGUAACCUCGUUUAAUGUUACCCUGUUCAAUGAUGAUUCAUGUUACCUGGUUUAAUGUUCCAUGUUUUAAUGUUGUACCAUGUUACCUGACUUAACGAUGUACCAUGUUACCUGGUUUAAUGUUACCUGUUUUAAUGAUGUUCCAUGUUACCUGGUUUAAUGAUGAAAGGUGUCAUGUUAUCCUUUUUUAUGUAUUGUCAUGUUACUUUGCGUCACUGAAGAGAUUGUAUCUCACUUCAACAUGCAUUAUAUGGUGAUGUUUCCUUGUUGCUAUAGUUAUGGAUGUAGCCAUCAUUUAUACUGUACAUUAACAUUGCAUUUGUCACUGCACUGAGGCUACCAAGUCCCUUCAUGUCUAGAUUCUGUAGUUACAGGACCCAAACUACAUGUUGAUGGUGUUUCAACUGUGAAUUGGUCAGUCAACCUGGCAUGGGGGACCAUCAGAGAAAACCAUCUCUCCGACAUAUGCUUGCUGUGGGGAUACUUCGAUAGAGCAGGUCCCCAGUACCCAAUGCUUGUCAGAAGAGACAACAAAAACUUGCUGUGGGGAUACUUCGAUAGAGAAGGUCCCCAGUACCCAAUGCUUGUCAGAAGAGACAACAAAAACUUGCUGUGGGGAUACUUCGAUAGAGAAGGUCCCCAGUACCCAAUGCUUGUCAGAAGAGACAACAAAAGUGUAUAAUGUGGGCAGUAGCUGAUUAUGUCUCAUCAUUCCUCAUGCAACCACUGGUCAGUCAGGACUAGACUUCACAGCUCAUUGUUGUGUGAAAAAACAACCUUGUUUAAUUAUUUAACUGUAUGUAUUGCAUUAUCAUAUCUCCAUAGAGAGUACUUAUUCUUACACAUGAUCAGCCAUUAAGAUAUAAGCUAUAAGAUAGCUCACCCAUGUAAACUUUGUAUAUGUUGGCUUGGAGCCGGGGUUGACUUUUCUGGAGUCAGAAUGUUUGAUUUGGGAGCUCAGCUCAGUUGUACAUAGCCAUUAACAUUGCAAGUCAACUCAUGAAAUCACUAUUGUUCAAGACAUCACAUGGAUUUCACAUUUGGAAAACAAAUUCAUUCCAGUAGCACUGACAUUCUCUAUUGCAUGUCCGUCAUUGAAAGACAUCAAAGAAAGAUAUCAUGAGAUUCUAAUUAUCACCACUGUCAUAGCAAUGCAGAUACAUUGUUUUUAUAUGGAAUCGAAGUCAAAGGCAUAUCUCUAAUAGUCUUUUUCCUUAGUUUAGUCCCUUAACACGCAUUACCACACAAAUACCUUCAAACAUAAAUACUUCACCAUUAGUCGUACAAUUAGUCAUGUAAAAAGAACUUGCAGUUUUUGUUUACUUUGCCUGAAAACUUUAGAAGCAAGGUUGACAAAAUAUAUGCUACUCACUGAAUAAUUUCUUGUACAUUAGAAUAAGGGACCCUUAAAGGUACCAAUGAAACAGACCGUUCACUAUGACUAUGCAAAAUAUGUGUACAUACUUGUUUCCUUUGAAUAUUUCAUACCUCAUUCAAAUCACUUCUGCAUUUUUCGCAAAAAAUAAAGCAGGUUAUCUGUACAUUGUGAGACUUUCUUCAUAUGCUGUAGGUGGAAAAUCACUGAUCUUGGCGCAGGAGUCAAGUAAAAUGAGUGGAAAUAACGUGUACAAUUUGUCCAAACUGCAGCAUUGUUCAGGCUAUUGACCAUGAGUGUGCCGCCCAAGACUGGACUAUAUGACAAGGCUGGAGACUAAAACAAAGCAUAAAUCAGCAUCCAUUCGCUCUUCAUCAGCUGCCACCAACAUGUACUUGAGACUGACAACAAAACACUGUCUAUUUUACCUAUGGUUUUAUUAACAUCUGGUGUAGUUGCACUCCACUUUGAAUCAUGAUGGUUCUAUAUAGGACUCUAGUAUGAAAAGAGGAGAAAGUAAAUGCAAAUGGUUUGAUAUGACCUUGAUAAAUGACAACAGGUGUGCACAGAAGACUGAAAUCACGGACGAUCAUAGAGGAUCAACUAAAGACACAAAUAAUGUCAUCUUUACAAGAGUAUCACAUGUGAUGCGCUUUGUUCAUUUGCUUCAUGCGCUUUUCAUUCUAAAAAUAAGAUUUCAUGGAUAAUUGUAUGUGCCUUUGCUAGAACAAAACUGAAA